rnacentral:rRNA from 1 species
CGCAUCUGUGCAUGCAGCAUAUCAAUAAGCGGAGGAAAAGAAACUAACAAGGAUUCCCCUUAGUAACGGCGAGUGAAGCGGGAAGAGCUCAAAUUUGAAAUCUUCAAGGGUUUACCUUUACGAAUUGUAGUUUAAAGAAGUGUUUUCUGUUGAGGUUUUGGUAAAAGUUCUUUGGAAUAGGACAUCAUAGAGGGUGAGAAUCCCGUAUUUGACCAUUACUUUUCAACUGUGUGAUACACUUUCAAAGAGUCGGAUUGUUUGGGAAUGCAGUCCAAAAUGGGUGGUAAAUUUCAUCUAAAGCUAAAUAUUGGCGAGAGACCGAUAGUGAACAAGUACCGUGAGGGAAAGAUGAAAAGAACUUUGAAAAGAGAGUUAAACAGUACGUGAAAUUGUCAAAAGGGAAGCGUUUGACACCAGUGUUGUUUUCUCGAAAAUCAAUUAAAGAACUGUUUAUGCUAAGUUGUUUAGACUUUAUCAGCUAUCUGCUUAGUUUUGAGCUUUUCUUUAAUGCACUUUUCAGUUAACAAUGUCAACAUCAAUUUCUUUUGCUGUAAAAAAGCUUGAGGAAGGUGGCUUGAGAUUCGUCUUAAGUGGUUAUAGCCUCUUGCCUAUGCAGUCGGAGAGAUUGAGGUCUGCAGCGUAGAUCCUUCGGGGCUAAAUGCAUUUGUGCUAAGUUAUAGCAUUUUAUAGACAACUUGUUGACUAUGAUUUGUCUUGUAGCUUACUCGCUUAUGUUAUUUUACCUACGCUUAGGAUGUUGACGAGACUGUCGAUCUCAUCUAUACAUGACUCUGUGCAUAUCAAUAAGCGGAGGAAAAGGAGUAUACCUACGCUUAGGAUGUUGACGAGACUGUCGAUCUCAUCUAUACAUGACUCUGUGCAUAUCAAUAAGCGGAGGAAAAGGGUACCUACGCUUAGGAUGUUGAAGAUAUGCGCGACACGGCUCUAUACAUGACUCUGCGCAUAUCAAUAAGCGGAGGAAAAGCAUACCACCGAUGAUAUGAUGUUCACCGUGGAAACCGCUUCCUGUCUGGGUACCUACGCUUAGGAUGUUGACGAGACUGUCGAUCUC